AAACCAGCACCUCAAGUGGUCAGGAUGAUUAUUGGGCCUAAAGCAUCCGUAGCCGGCUCUGUAAGUUUUCGGUUAAAUCUGUACGCUUAACGUACAGGCUGCCGAGAAUACUGCAGAGCUAGGGAGUGGGAGAGGUAGACGGUACUCGGGAGGAAGUGGUAAAAUGCUUUGAUCUCUCGAUGACCACCUGUGGCGAAGGCGGUCUACCAGAACACGUCCGACGGUGAGGGAUGAAAGCUGGGGGAGCAAACCGGAUUAGAAACCCGGGUAGUCC
rnacentral:rRNA from 1 species